rnacentral:rRNA from 1 species
UACGAAGGGGGCUAGCGUUGCUCGGAAUGACUGGGCGUAAAGGGCGCGUAGGCGGAUUGUACAGUCAGGCGUGAAAUUCCCGGGCUCAACCUGGGGGCUGCGCUUGAGACGUGCGAUCUUGAGUGGGGAAGAGGGUCGUGGAAUUCCCAGUGUAGAGGUGAAAUUCGUAGAUAUUGGGAAGAACACCGGUGGCGAAGGCGGCGACCUGGUCCUUGACUGACGCUGAGGCGCGAAAGCGUGGGGAGCAAACGG